rnacentral:misc_RNA from 1 species
AAAUAAUAUGACUAACCAUGUUAACUUUGAUGAAGUAGAAUACACAAGAGUCUUUGUGACCCAGUAAUCCUGACUUCUUUAUUAUUGUGCUAUUCCUGGUUGUGAUUAUGGAGCACCAAAGCUUGCAGCAAAACAUUAAUUUUCUAUGUUCAUUCUUUGAGUAAUCUUUAGAUUGGUUUAUCUAAUUUAAUGGUUUUGCUUUGCUACUUUUUCUCUUCUAUAAUUUUUGGGUAUUGAUUUUUUUCAAUUUGCAUGGGAUGAAUAUUC